rnacentral:rRNA from 1 species
ACUGAACGCUGGCGGCACGCCUAACACAUGCAAGUCGAGCGAACAGACGGAGCGCUUGCUCGUCUGCAGCAGGCGGCGGGCGGGUGAUUACCACGAGGCUAACUUAACUAUAAGAAUAGGAUAACUUCGGGAAACCUGAGCUAUUACCGGAUCAGAUGUUGAACCGCGUGGUUCUUCGGACAUAGCCCCUCCUGCUGAGCCUUAUACAUGGACCCGAGCCGCAUUAGCUAGUUGGUAAGGUAAAGGCUUACCUAGGCAACGAUGCGUAGCCGACCUGAGAGGGUGAUCGGCCACACUGGAACUGAGACACGGUCCAGACUCCUACGGGAGGCAGCAGUAGGGAAUCUUGCGCAAUGGGCGAAAGCCUGACGCAGCAACGCCGCGUGAGUGAGGAAGGUCUUCGGAUCGUAAAACACUGUUAGUAGGGAAGAACGAAGGUGUAAUUAACUAUGCACGUCUUGACGGUACCUAAGCAAAAAGCCACGGCUAACUUCGUG